rnacentral:rRNA from 1 species
UACGGAGGGUGCAAACGUUGCUCGGAAUCAUUGGGCGUAAAGCGCACGUAGGUGGUUUGUUAAGUCGGGUGUGGAAAGCCCUGGGCUCAACCCAGGAAGUGCACUCGAAACUGGCAGACUUGAGUACUGAAGAGGGUCGCGGAAUUCCCGGUGUAGAGGUGAAAUUCGUAAGAUAUCGGGAGGAACACCAGUGGCGAAGGCGGCGACCUGGGCAGAUACUGACACUG